AACUUAUAUAGGAAGAGUCCUUCGGGACUAUGGACAUAAACGCGCUCGUAAUAAGCGGAUCGGACCCGGGGGCGGUACCCGGCGGCUCCACCAAAAUCUCUCGUUUGGGGAUCAUGGGGCCGAAAUAGGAUCGACGAACGUCUAAAGGGGUUAGCUUUGUCUCGGCUGUCUGCCACCGUUACCGGCGAAAAUAGUACAAUUGCAAACGACAAUCGUGCUCCGGUUGCAGUUGCUGCGUAAGCAGUAACAAGACCGAAACUUAAGCCCUUGCGCCUAGCCGCGUAAGGCGGGGUUCGCAGGUACCUGGCAACAGAAACCUGCAUUUUCCCAA
rnacentral:tmRNA from 1 species